UACGUAGGGGGCAAGCGUUUGUCCGGAAUCAUUGGGCGUAAAGCGCGUGUAGGCGGCUUCGUAAGUCCGUUGUGAAAGUCCAGGGCUCAACCCUGGAAUGCCGAUGGAUACUGCGGAGCUAGAGUCCGGAAGAGGCGAGUGGAAUUCCUGGUGUAGCGGUGAAAUGCGCAGAUAUCAGGAGGAACACCAAUGGCGAAGGCAGCUCGCUGGGACGGUACUGACGCUGAGACGCGAAAGCGUGGGGAGCAAACAGG
rnacentral:rRNA from 1 species